rnacentral:rRNA from 1 species
GUCUUUUUGUUUUUUAUAUAAAGUCUAACCUGCCCAUUGAAAAUUUUUAAAGGCUGCGGUAUUUUGACUGUACAAAGGUAGCAUAAUCAUUUGUUUUUUAAUUGAAAACUUGUAUGAAUGGUUGAAUGAAAAAUUAACUUUUUUAUUUAAAAUAUUGAAAUUUACUUUUUAAUAAAAAGGUUAAAAUUUUUUUAAAAGACGAGAAGACCCUAUAGAGUUUUAUAAUUUAUUGUUUUUAUUUUAAUUAGUUUAAUUAAAAAUUUAAUUAUUAAAUUAUUUUAUUGGGGUGAUAAUAUAAUUUAAAAAACUUAUAUUUAAUAUAACCAUUAAUAUAUGAUUAAUUGAUCCAAUUUUAUUGAUUAAAAAAUUAAAUUACCUUAGGGAUAACAGCGUAAUUUUUUUUUAAGUUCAUAUUAAUAAAAAAUUUUGCGACCUCGAUGUUGGAUUAAGAUUAAAUUUUAGGUGCACCAGUUUAAAAUUUAAGUCUGUUCGACUUUUAAAUUCUU